UACGGAGGUGGCGAGCGUUGUCCGGAAUCAUUGGGCGUAAAGGGCGCGUAGGUGGCGGGACAAGCGUGCGGUGAAAACGCCUGGGCUCGAACCCCGGGUCGGCCGUGCGAACUGUUUUGCUUGAGCACUGUAGAGGCAGGCGGAAUUCCGGGUGUAGCGGUGGAAUGCGUAGAGAUCCGGAAGAACACCGGUGGCGAAGGCGGCCUGCUGGGCAGGUAGCUGACACUGAGGCGCGACAGCGUGGGGGAGCAAACAGG
rnacentral:rRNA from 1 species